rnacentral:lncRNA from 1 species
CUAGAAAUGAUUACAGUACUUAGCAGUGAUCACCUUGAGGAUAUGACAAAAAGUAGUAACUUUCCUCUUCUUCAUCAGGGGAUGCUCAUUGCUAACAAGGGUUGCAUUUGCCCUCUUGGCCAUUUUGUCCUGCUGUGAGAUCAUGAUCUGCUCAGAAUCCUCUCCCACAGCUAGCUUCUUUUCCAGAUGAUUACUUCGCAUGCACAGAAGCCAUGGCCUGGAAGUGACCAAGUGGUUCUUGGCAUCCAGGUAGGACCUUGUUUUUCUUAUUUGCUGGAUCAGCCAUUUGGGAGUGAAGGGCCUGCUGAUUUCAGGAUAUAUGUCAGCUGUUGGAGAUUAUGCAAAAGUCGCAACUCAUUAAAACCCA